UCUCUCCGGCCUCCAGGCCAGCUUGGGUCAGAUGCAGCUGCUCCUCUGGCUGGAAGUGAAGGACAAGGCUUCCCCGUUUGGUGGAGGAAGUUAACAGUCUGUCAGGGGAACCAGGGCUUCUCUGGUUGAGUCCCGGGGAAGACCUGGGAUCCCUGAUGAAGUCAGAAGUCCUCCCACCCAUGGCAUCUGGUUCACCCCACAGAAAAGAGGUACAAGGGGAGUCUACAGGUGCCAGUUCAGAGCGCUCAUAAGUGCUCAGGCAGGUGGUAACACCAGAUCUCCUGGAACUGGCUAUGUUCCCCUCAUCUGACCUCAAGAGCUGGAGAGGCAAUACUGACUGAUGCAUUUCCUUUCCUUUUUUCCCCUAUCCCUCCCAGUCUGCGGUCUCUUCAAAGGAUAUUCAAAGAAAAGAGAGGUUGAUGCAUCUGCCCAAUUGGGAAGUGGUUUUGAAUAAACGCUGAUGUUCUGACACACA